GGAAGGAGGGCUGUGUUUUCUGUACGCCACAAAAAAGUUGCACGGAUUCGAUCGUUACGUCUAUAAAUCCAGACCGUGUGGCCUCAUCAGAGAGGAACACAUUGAGCAUUGUUGGGAAAAGGCUAAAUGUUGGAUCGAGAGCUUCACUGCAGAUCCAUGGGAUUGCUGACCACAGUGCAGACAUAUCAAACGAUUGCACGAUUGAGAACAGCACUUUGGUGAAAUGUGUAUUACCAAAGGCAAUCCAUGGCAAGAAAACUGUGUGCUUGUUAUAUGAUUCUGAAGAGGACUGUGCGGCUAACAGAACUGCUUUCCUGGAGUAUGUCACCAACAUCCGUGUGACUGAGAUUCA